rnacentral:rRNA from 1 species
UAUUUUCCUUUUUUUCCCGCAGCCGCGGUAAAACGUAGGUCACAAGCGUUGUCCGGAAUUACUGGGUGUAAAGGGAGCGCAGGCGGGAAGACAAGUUGGAAGUGAAAUCCAUGGGCUCAACCCAUGAACUGCUUUCAAAACUGUUUUUCUUGAGUAGUGCAGAGGUAGGCGGAAUUCCCGGUGUAGCGGUGGAAUGCGUAGAUAUCGGGAGGAACACCAGUGGCGAAGGCGGCCUACUGGGCACCAACUGACGCUGAGGCUCGAAAGUGUGGGUAGCAAACAGG